rnacentral:tRNA from 1 species
GACGCUACGGACUUAAAUAAUUUGAGCAGAAAAUCCGUUGGCUUUAUUGACCAUGAGGGUUCAAGUCCC